GUGUAUUGGGACAUUGUGCCAUUGUGUUAGAUCUAUGGCUUGGUACUGAGAUGACUUUUCUAUGUACAAACAGCUCAGUGAUCUUUGGACUAAAUGUGUGUGGUGUGACAGGAAGGAUUUGAAUAAGAAAGUCUUUUUGGUACUUGAAUACUAAUAUAUGUUUUACAAUUAAAUUUCAUUUUAUACACACUGUGUUGAUUAUGGUACGGAACGUAGUUUUUACCGAUCAAAGCAACAAGAUGAGAACAAAAGAGUUGCACACCUGUUUGUUGUUUUUGUCCUUUUCACAAAUGACCACACAGGGGCACUGUGCUUCACACUGAGGGGAGAAAAGUGCAGGCUUCUCACAUUGCUGAAGAGAAUGCAUUUCAUUCCUCCGUAUGUUUUCAGUGAAGUUCACACACAAUGGAAAAGUUGCUACGGCACAUGUGGGACCCAUUCAAAAAGGCCAGUAGGGUGGUAAUAAAGCUCAGAUGAUUUUUACUACAUUCUCAAGGUGAUACUAAGGUGAUACUGAUGCUCACAAUGUGGAGACUAUGAGGAUGGAGAGCUGCUAGCCUAGAAAAUGCACAAAAUGUGAAAGGUAAGUGUUUCAAGCUCAUAAAUAUUUUUUGUAAGGAAAAUAAUAAAAGCUUGCAUGUUUUACAUGCGUACGAUUGGAAAUAUUGAGCAAUGCAUUUAGAUAUGUUUAUUAUAUUUUGCAGACCAAGUCACUGCAUUCCAUUUUGUACAUAUAGAAUGUUUAGACUCUCCCCCUAGAGACUUUUUGUGUACAUUAUUAUGGUUUACUCUCAUUUACUGCCAUUUAAAGAGAACAUUUGCUACCUCCCAAAAUGUUCUAAUGAUCGUUACACCUCUUGCUCAAAGACCAUGACUCAAGGUGGUUAAAUGUGCAGUAAAAAGUAUUGGCCAAUGUUAUACAUACUAGUAAAAUAAAACGCUCUGUAGGCAAAUCUUAAUUGGCAUUUAAUUUAUUAUGAAUUUAAAUGAAUAUGAUGUGGAGAGUAUAAAAAAGUACCCCUUCUUUACUUGCUGCAGCCAACCAGUUAACUUUUUUGAAUGUCACGUCUAAAUUCAUUCAGCAUAUUCUGCUGAUGUCUUUCCAAGCUGCCUUCAUUCAUAUGUGCCUGAAGCUAAACAGCAUCGGCUGUCAUUCACUUCAUCCAAGGAACAGGGCUAACAAGGGACUAAUGGCCAAUAUGGAUGAAAGUACAUAAUAAAACUCCUAAGGUCAGAAAUGAAUAUUUGACCAUUAAAUGCAUGGUUUACCAGUGACCUUUGAUUUCACUCUCUCCCCACCUUGUUUGUUUUUUUUUUUCUCAGUUAGAUUCCCACCUCCUCAAU
ensembl:lncRNA